UAUGGGGUAUUGUGUGUAGAUUGAGUGGGAAAAACAAUUUAAUAAGGCUGUAAUGUAACAAAAUGUGGAGAAAGUCGAGGGGUCUGAAUACUUUCCGAAUGCACUGUGAUUUGUUUUUACAUGAUUGAUCGACCAUGGUUCAUGUUUUAUAGAAAUGUUGUUGUGUAUUAGUAGCUUUUUAUUCACGUUAAUAUAUUUCCUGGUGUGAACCCAUGACUGAGGUUGACAAAUAUUAUUGUAUUAAUCUGAAAAUGAUUCUCUCAAAACAGAACAGCGAUAUUUUCGUGGUUAUACUCAAAUCAGAAACAGGCUCUAAGAUCGUAGAAAAGAUUCCUAGACCAGUAGGACAUUCCUGGCAUGAAGAACAUCAGAAAUGAUUACCAUUCUAAAUCCCACCCAGAACAAGACCCGUAAUCCCUACCUCCCAAACCUAGUGUAUAUGCUGAAUUUGGAAAAUGAAUAAAAUAAGUGUUGUAUUAUUUGUUUUAAUUACAUUUAACAUAUGACAACAAAUCUAGCUGUAUAGAAAACACUGUCCUUUGUCAUUCAACAAAUUCUACAAGGUAACAAAGGUGUUUCUUUUCAGUUUUUUAUUGAAUGGAUACAUCUACAUAAAUCAGAGGCCUCGCAGUACAAAUACUUGCCCAAAAAAAGUUUUGAAAUUCAGCUAUUAUGAAAAACCUUGAUUAAACGAUCUCUGUACAUUCUGUGAGAUAUGUUGAGGAGCUGGAACAGAAGUCAGAAACAAGACGAGGCCCCAUCGCCACUCACAUACGCGUUAACCCCAUUCUCUAUUGACCCUCAAUACCUCCACCCUUUAAUACCGCCACCCAUGCAAACACACACACUCCAAACAGCCUUCACUUAUUCAUCAUCCAACAACCACCAUCUUCCACACACUCUCAAACACCUUUCAUUCAUACCUCUCCCUCAUACACGAUCUAGCUUGUGCUUCUCCACUGUUAACAGACUGAUGUCUUAGAGAGAAAACAAAUCUCUCCCUCGCUGAUCUAGGUAUGAAGCCUAAUUCGAUUUUUCGUAAAAAUAAAACAAAAACAGUCAAUCACAUUGAGAGACGGGAACAUUUAUAAUGUACAUAUAAUAUAAAUGUCAAUACUCUUGUCACACUGUCAUUGGCAUUAGAAAGAAUGGAUUUAAUGCAAUGGUGGUUCAAACGGAUUUCUCUUUUUUUAUUCAAGUGCUCUUGCUUGCUCUUUUUGGGUGGGACACAGACACAGCGAAGGUACUUUAUAUCUUAGGCAUCAUAGCCUAGGUACAUUAUAUACUAUAUAUCUUAGGCAUCAUAGCCUAGGUACAUUAUAUACUAUAUAUCUUAGGCACCAUAGCCUAGGUACUUUAUAUCUUAGUAAUGUUAUCUAAUAUAUAAAGUACCAAGGCAAAGACCUUUAUAUGAGUUGCAGCGUAGGUCUUCCUUUGCCAAGCACACAAAUAGGUAAAAAGGUGGUGUGACUAUUAUCCCAAUUAUCAACUCAAAAUUACAAAAUGGAUUUGCCUUUUAUUUAAUACGGCAGUGAUGCCCCAGCCUAGGGACAGUCAAUAAAGAAAUGUACAUUGUAGAUUGAGUCGUCAUGUAUCAUUUAUAGAAAUGUACAAUGUAGAUUAAAUCAUGUGUCAUUUGUUCAGAUCCACUGUUAGACUCCAAUGACAUUAGAUUCAUUCUAGAUGAUGAAAUAAAUAAACAUGAUGCUAGGACUGAU